rnacentral:rRNA from 1 species
CCCUUAGAUGUUCUGGGCCGCACGCGCGCUACACUGAUGCAUUCAACGAGCCUAUCCUUGACCGACAGGUCCGGGUAAUCUUCGAAUCUGCAUCGUGACGGGGAUAGAUUAUUGCAAUUAUUAAUCUUCAACGAGGAAUGCCUAGUAGGCGCAAGUCAUCAGCUUGCGUCGAUUACGUCCCUGCCCUUUGUACACACCGCCCGUCGCUCCUACCGAUUGGGUGUGCUGGUGAAAUGUUCGGAUCGGCCGUUUGUCGCGGUUUCCGCGUCAUGUGGCUGAGAAGUUCAUUAAACCCUCCCACCUAGAGGAAGGAGAAGUCGUAACA